rnacentral:rRNA from 1 species
AUUGAACGCUGGCGGCAUGCCUUACACAUGCAAGUCGAACGGCAGCAUGAUCUAGCUUGCUAGAUUGAUGGCGAGUGGCGAACGGGUGAGUAAUACAUCGGAACGUGCCCUGUAGCGGGGGAUAACUAGUCGAAAGAUUAGCUAAUACCGCAUACGACCUGAGGGGGAAAGUGGGGGACCGCAAGGCCUCAUGCUAUAGGAGCGGCCGAUGUCUGAUUAGCUAGUUGGUGAGGUAAAGGCUCACCAAGGCGACGAUCAGUAGCUGGUCUGAGAGGACGAUCAGCCACACUGGGACUGAGACACGGCCCAGACUCCUACGGGAGGCAGCAGUGGGGAAUUUUGGACAAUGGGCGAAAGCCUGAUCCAGCAAUGCCGCGUGUGUGAAGAAGGCCUUCGGGUUGUAAAGCACUUUUGUCCGGAAAGAAAUGGCUCUGGUUAAUACCUGGGGUCGAUGACGGUACCGGAAGAAUAAGGACCGGCUAACUACGUG